AACGAACGCUGGCGGCAGGCUUAACACAUGCAAGUCGAACGGAUCCUUCGGGAUCAGUGGCGGACGGGUGAGUAACGCGUGGGAACCUACCCUGGGGUGGGGAAUAACCUUGGGAAACUGAGGCUAAUACCGCAUACGCCUAUUGGGGAAAGACUAUGUUGCCCUGGGAUGGGCCCGCGUCCGAUUAGCUAGUUGGUGGGGUAAUGGCCUACCAAGGCUGCGAUCGGUAGCUGGUCUGAGAGGAUGAUCAGCCACACUGGGACUGAGACACGGCCCAGACUCCUACGGGAGGCAGCAGUGGGGAAUAUUGGACAAUGGGGGGCAACCCUGAUCCAGCCAUGCCGCGUGAGUGAAGAAGGCCUUAGGGUUGUAAAGCUCUUUCACCCGUGACGAUGAUGACGGUAGCGGAGAAGAAGCCCGGCUAAUUCCGUGCCAGCAGCCGCGGUAU
rnacentral:rRNA from 1 species